AAUUUAUCAAUGCUCGCAAGAGUGAACUAGCUAACUGAAAUAACAAGAACCACUAUGUGUGGUGAAUGUUAUAACGUAAGGGAAAAAAAUGAUAUUACCUUAUUAUUAGUGUUGUCAAAAACUGGUGCCAGAAGACUCGGUAAGGCCAGAAACGCAAACGUUAGUCGUCCUAAUCAGGCGUAAAGGGUAUGUAGGCUGCUUUAAAAAUUUUAUGUUUAAUAGCUCUGUAUUUAAAAAUUUAAUAUUUAAAAUGUUAAAUUUAUUUUGACAGUAAAAUAUAAAAUGAAUUAAAGCUAGGAUCAAAAUGAGGAUAAGUCAAAUAAUACUUAGUGUAGGGUUUAAAUCUGGUGAUACUAGGUGGAGUACUAACGGUGAAAGCUUUUUAUCUAGAAAUGAUUGACGCUGAGAAACGAAGGUGAGAAUAGGAAAUAGGAUUAGAUACCCAGAUACCUCUCACAGUCAACGAUGAAUGGUGGUUGUUAGUUAGUUUUACUUAACUGAUAACGAUGUUAACACGAUAACCAUUCCGCCUUGCGAGUACGGUUGCAAAACUGAAACCAAAAAAAUUAGUCGGUCUCGAAGCAAACGAAGUGAAGCAUGUUAUUA
rnacentral:rRNA from 1 species